GACGAACGCUGGCGGCGUGCUUAACACAUGCAAGUCGAACGGAAAGGCCCUGCUUUUGUGGGGUGCUCGAGUGGCGAACGGGUGAGUAACACGUGAGUAACCUGCCCUUGACUUUGGGAUAACUUCAGGAAACUGGGGCUAAUACCGGAUAGGAGCUCCUGCUGCAUGGUGGGGGUUGGAAAGUUUCGGCGGUUGGGGAUGGACUCGCGGCUUAUCAGCUUGUUGGUGGGGUAGUGGCUUACCAAGGCUUUGACGGGUAGCCGGCCUGAGAGGGUGACCGGCCACAUUGGGACUGAGAUACGGCCCAGACUCCUACGGGAGGCAGCAGUGGGGAAUAUUGCACAAUGGGCGGAAGCCUGAUGCAGCAACGCCGCGUGCGGGAUGACGGCCUUCGGGUUGUAAACCGCUUUCGCCUGUGACGAAGCGUGAGUGACGGUAAUGGGUAAAGACGCACCGGCUAACUACGU
rnacentral:rRNA from 1 species